rnacentral:rRNA from 1 species
AAUCCGGUUGAUCCUGCCGGACCUGAUUGCUAUCGGAUUGGUACUAAGCCAUGCGAGUAAGUGUAGCAAUACACUGCAGACGGCUCAGUAACACGUGGUCAAGCUAACCUAUGGACGUGGAUAACCUCGGGAAACUGAGAAUAAACCGCGAUAGAUCAUG